CAGUCGCCGCGGGAAUACGGAGGGUGCAAGCGUUAAUCGGAAUUACUGGGCGUAAAGCGCACGCAGGCGGUCUGACAAGUCAGAUGUGAAAUCCCCGGGCUUAACCUGGGAACUGCAUUUGAAACUGUCAGGCUGAGUCUUGUAGAGGGGGGUAGAAUUCCAGGUGUAGCGGUGAAAUGCGUAGAGAUCUGGAGGAAUACCGGUGGCGAAGGCGGCCCCCUGGACAAAGACUGACGCUCAGGUGCGAAAGCGUGGGGAGCAAACAGGAUUAGAUACCCCUGUAGUCCCUGUCUCUUAUACA
rnacentral:rRNA from 1 species